rnacentral:rRNA from 1 species
AAUUUUGGACACUGGGGGCAACCCUGAUCCAGCCAUCACGCGUGUGCGAUGAAGGCCUUCGGGUUGUAAAGCACUUUUGGCAGGGAAGAAAAGGCGCCGGAUAAUACCUGGCGCCGCUGACGGUACCUGCAGAAUAAGCACCGGCCAACUACGUACCAGCAGCCGCGGUAAUACGUAGGGUGCAAGCGUUAAUCGGAAUUACGGGGCGUAAAGCGUGCGCAUGCGGUUCGGAAAGAAAGAUGUGAAAACCCAGGGCUUAACCUUGGAACUGCAUUUUUAACUGCCGGGCUAGAGUAUGACAGAGGGGGGUAGAAUUCCACGCGUAGCAGUGAAAUGCGUAGAGAUGUGGAGGAAUACCGAUGGCGAAGGCAGCCCCCUGGGAUAAUACUGACGCUCAUGCACGAAAGCGUGGGGAGCAAACAG